rnacentral:rRNA from 1 species
AACACGGACCAAGGAGUCUAGCAUGUGCGCGAGUCAUUGGGACACGAUUAAACCUAAAGGCGCAAUGAAAGUGAAGGCUCGCCUUGCGCGAGCCGAGGGAAGAUGGGCGCUCCGUGUUCUCGCGGUCGCCCCGCAUUCCCGGGGCGUCUCGUUCUCAUUGCGAGAAGAGGCGCACCAAGAGCGUACACGCUGGGACCCGAAAGAUGGUGAACUAUGCCUGGUCAGGACGAAGUCAGGGGAAACCCUGAUGGAGGUCCGUAGCGAUUCUGACGUGCAAAUCGAUCGUCGGAACUGGGUAUAGGGGCGAAAGACUAAUCGAACCAUCUAGUAGCUGGUUCCCUCCGAAGUUUCCCUCAGGAUAGCUGGCGCUCGUCGCCAACGAGUCUCAUCCGGUAAAGCGAAUGAUUAGAGGCAUUGGGGCCGAAACGGCCUCAACCUAUUCUCAAACUUUAAAUGGGUGAGAUCUCCGGCUUGCUCGAACCGAUGAAGCCGCGAGACUCGGAUCAGAGUGCCAAGUGGGCCAUUUUUGGUAAGCAGAACUGGCGCUGUGGGAUGAACCAAACGCCGAGUUAAAGCGCCUAAAUCGACGCUUAUGGGAUACCAUGAAAGGCGUUGGUAACUUAAGACAGCAGGACGGUGGCCAUGGAAGUCGGAAUCCG